AAGACGUUGAAGGGUACACUUCAGGGGUACAUUCGGCAACGCACCAGCUGUCAUAGCGCCUCACUGUUGUGUGCCCAAAUGUUCGUCCUCAAAGAGAAAAAAUCCUACCGUGGACAGACUUUCCACCGUUUCCACAAAGAGCAGGCACUUCGCCGUGAAUGUAUAAAUCAAAUCAAGAGGGAUCUUGGUCCAUAUUUCAAGAUCAACGCUGAGACCAAAGUUUGCUCUGAGCACUUUGAGAAGCAGUGUUUUGUAAAGACCGCCUGUGGUAUCACAAAGCUUAUAAAGGAUGCUGUGCCUUCUGAGCUCUAGGAAGAGCAUUACUCAGCUGGAGCUUUCCCAUGGCCAAGAGAUGAACGCUAAACUUGAUAGUUUUUUUUCCUCCUCCUUCCUGCCUGCACUGUACAAAA